rnacentral:rRNA from 1 species
CCCUUAGAUGUUCUGGGCUGCACGCGCGCUACACUGAUGCAUCCAGCGAGUUGUAACCUUGCUCGGUAAAGUUUGGUAAUCUGAGGCUAAUGUGCAUCGUGAUGGGAAUAGAGUUUUGCAACUAUUAGUCUUGGACGGGGAAUUCCUCGUAGGCACGAGUCAUCAGCUUGUGCUGAUUACGUCCCUGCCCUUUGUACACACCGCCCGUCGCUCCUACCGAUUGGGUGCUCCGGUGAAUUGUUUGGACUGCUGUCAGUCUUUUUGGCUGUCGGCGAGAAGCUCUGUGAACCUUAGCACCUAGAGGAAGGAGAAGUCGUAACA